GUGGGGAAUCUUGCGCAAUGGGCGAAAGCCUGACGCAGCGACGCCGCGUGUGGGAUGAAGGCCUUCGGGUCGUAAACCACUGUCGCGAGGGACGAAUAAAUUGACGGUACCUCGAAAGGAAGCACCGGCUAACUCUGUGCCAGCAGCCGCGGUAAUACAGAGGGUGCGAGCGUUGUCCGGAAUCACUGGGCGUAAAGGGCGCGUAGGCGGUUUUGUAAGUCGGGGGUGAAAUGCUGCGGCUCAACCGCAGCGCUGCCCUCGAGACUGCAAGACUGGAGCACGGUAGAGGCGGAUGGAAUUCCCGGUGUAGCGGUGGAAUGCGUAGAGAUCGGGAAGAACACCAAUGGCGAAGGCAGUCCGCUGGGCCGUUGCUGACGCUGAGGCGCGACAGCGUGGGGAGCAAACAGGAUUAGAUACCCUUGUAGUCC
rnacentral:rRNA from 1 species